ACCAGCCUCCCCUGAGCAAACACACAGGUGACAGUGGCAAGGAAAAACUCCUUCUGGUGAUAAUGAAGAAGAAAUCUUAAGCAAACCACACUCAGAGGGGUGACCCACUGCUUUGGCCAUUCUAACAGUUACAAGGUUUUUACCGA